AGAUGCUUGGUGACAAGAAGAUGCUUUGAUGAAUAGAUGGUGUCAUUCGUCACAUACUGAACCACCGAAGACAGGCUGGGUUGUAGAGCUGUGCAUUUCUUUACUUCUCCCAUAAGAACCCUUUGGCAAAUGGAUGGAACCAGAAAAUAUCAUCCCAAGUGAAGUAACCCAGACCCAGAAAGACCCACAUGGAUUCUCCAAGCUCUUCCUAAUGUGUGGCUAUGGGUCUCUGCAUCUGUUUCCAUCCAUUGCUGGGUGAAGCCUCCAUGAUGACAA